GCACAUUACAUUAAAAACAUAAAAGACAAGCAGACUUUAGUUGAUACUAUCUUUAACCUAGCAAACACCAAAAUCAAUGAUGAAAUUGUAAAUUAUGAAAUUCAAUUUGUGGCUUGUUCUUCUGCAUUAACUAACUGUGAAAGAAAAAAGGUUAUGAAAAACCACAGACAAAACUAUAUAAAUGACUUCAUUGAACCAGCUCUAAAAAAACAGAAGGUAGAAACAAAGCAGAUGAAAUACAAAAUGAUGGCGAAGGAGAAAAAACAAAAACUGCUUACUAAAAAUAUGAAGUAUAAACAAACAACGAGUAAAGAACAAAAGCAAAAUGUACUGGAGUGUAAAAGAGUAAAGUAUGAAGCAAUGGAUCAAUCAAAGAAAAAAGAGUUAAUUGCUAUCACUUCAAACAAAAUCAUGUCAAAUCGCAUGUCGUUGGAUCCAAAACAAAAAAACAAUUUGCUGAAUAGAGUGAAAGAUAAACGGAUGGAAAAGAAAUCUCUAACUCAUGAUAUUGACACAUACAUUGAAAAAUUUAAAAAACAAAUUAAAGCUGGUCCAUUUUACAUAUGCUGUGUCUGUAACCGAACAUUAUAUAAAAAGUCAGUAGUAAUCCUGCAGAAAAAUAAAUAUCCUCGCCAGGAUUGUUUCAUGCUUCAAUGUUCUUUUGAUAGCAAAGAGUACAUCUGCAAAACUUGCC